UGGGGGAGUGCUGGAUCCUGGGCUGUGUCCACUGGUGCCUUGGGCUCCGAGGCCUGCGCUGCUGGAAUCAUGCUCCCAGGCUGCGCAGUUCCCA
rnacentral:pre_miRNA from 1 species